rnacentral:lncRNA from 1 species
UCAACAAAUCGGAAAUUUGACAAAUCUGUUUGAUCUUCAACUGGCCAACAACUUUUUCAAUGGUUCCAUCCCUUCCACCAUUGGAAAUUUAUCCAGUCUUGUGAAGUUAAGUCUUUCUUCUAACCAACUUACUGGAACCCUUCCUCCUGAAAUAGGCAACCUCAAAAUGUUAGAAGAGUUGGACUUGAGCUCAAAUAAUUUGCAAGGAACUCUUCCCAUGUCAAUAACCAAUUUACAAAGCCUCACCCUGUUAUAUGUUUCAUUCAACAACUUCUCAGGAAGCAUUCCAGUUGAUUUUGGACCCAGAUUCUUAACAAAUGUGAGCUUCUCCUACAAUAAUUUUUCUGGAAAGCUGCCUCCAGGAAUUUGUAGAGGUGGGAACCUCAUCUAUUUAACUGCCAAUGUAAAUAAACUCGUGGGACCUAUUCCAGAAAGUCUUUGGAACUGCACAGGACUAACCAGAGUUAGGCUUGAGCAGAAUCGUCUGGAUGGAGAUAUCACGAAUGCAUUAGGCAUAUACCCAGAUCUGCAAUAUAUUGACUUGGGAGACAAC